CGGAUACUUAGUUUCUUCCAGUGUCUCCUCUUUGUGGUGACAACUGUACUGAAGUAUCCCAGAGAAACAAAGAAGCCAUCUGUUCAUUCCUGGAUAGUUAACAGGAUUGGAUCGUUCCACUUCUGACAUGU
ensembl:scaRNA